rnacentral:rRNA from 1 species
CCAAUAGCGUAUAUUAAAGUUGUUGCAGUUAAAAAGCUCGUAGUUGAAUUUCGGGGUUAGUAGAUUGGUCGUGCCACUGGUAUGCACUGGUCUUACUGAUUCCUCCUUCCUGAUGAACCGUAAUGCCAUUAAUUUGGUGUUGCGGGGAGACUGGACUGUUACUUUGAAAAAAUUAGAGUGUUUAAAGCAAGCUAACGCUUGAAUACAUUAGCAUGGAAUAAUUAAAUAGGACGAUCGAUCCUAUUUUGUUGGUUUCUAGGAUUGACGUAAUGAUUAAUAGGGAUAGUUGGGGGCAUUAGUAUUCAAUUGUCAGAGGUGAAAUUCUUGGAUUUAUUGAAGACUAACUACUGCGAAAGCAUUUGCCAAGGAUGUUUUCAUUAAUCAAGAACGAAAGUUAGGGGAUCGAAGACGAUCAGAUACCGUCGUAGUCUUAACCAUAAACUAUGCCGACUAGGGAUCGGAUGAUGUUAAUUUUAUAAUGACUCAUUCGGCGCCUUACG